rnacentral:snRNA from 1 species
AAAAUUGGAAAUUUUUCAUAAAUCAGUGUUACAAACAAGAAGAUUAGCAUGGCCCCUGCGCAAGAAUGACACGCAAAUUCAUGAAGCGUUCCAUAUUUUU